GGGCUGGGCAGUGGACUCCGAGCGUCGAACCAUCUGGAUCGCUCCUGACCCUACCAUCUCUCGCGACUCCCAGCUCCGCCGCCUUCCUACCUUCUCCACCGACGAGGUCUGCCCAAACUGAUCCCUCCCGACCCUACCAUCUCUCGCGACCCCCAGCUCCGCCGCCUUCCUACCUUCUCCACCGACGAGGCCUCCCCUAACUCCGCAGCUGCCCCUCCUCAGCCAUACUCUCGUGUAUAUGGAGAAACAUCCUCCCUUCUCAGGUUUAUAGUUGAUCUGCUCGUUUAUGUGUGUUACCGGGGACAAAGGCAUGUUAGAGGGUUCAUGGGACGAUGUUAGAGGGUGCGUUUGGAUAUUUGACCUGAUGAGGCAUAACUUCUUUAUUGAAAACAAUAAAUACUUCGAUGCUUUGGUCAUACACUAAGUGGGUUCCUGUUCAUGUCCCUUCAUCAAUUUCAGGUUCAUGGGAAUGUAUGCUUCUCCAGUGUAGUUGUUACUCAGGAAGCUUCAUUUUUUUAUGUUCUUUCAGAAUUUGAUGCCAAUAUUGAAAUCUCUGGUAGCCCCAUGUUGGUAAUGUUUCUUAAUCCACACCAUUGUUUAUGUUAGCUAGAAUAGAACUAGAUGCAGUUCUUUUUUUUUUAAAUGUUCUGGUGAAUGUUCAAGCCACGCUGUUGUGUCAAUCUCAGGAGUUCAAGUACUCUUUACACAUGUAGUUUUAUUUAAAAGCAGGUUUAUCAUAAACAUAUCGAGUAACAAAAUUCAUGAAAUAUAUUAUUCAGUGAUUAUAUUUUAUACAUGUUUGAGUCUACGUUGUUUAGUAUAGAUAGUCAUUCGAUUGAUUUAAGAUGAAAAGGACUAAACUACUCCCAAAUUAGGAGUACAUACGCUUUGACAGACUGAAGGAUUCCCAAAUUAGUCCAAUUUCUCAAAAUAAUCAUGUAUAUGAAGUGUAUCGUUGUUCGUGGAGUACAUUAUCCAUAGUACAUUAUGUGAAUCUAUGAAACAUGGAUGCUCAGUUUUACUUCAGUAUUGACUGGCCUGCGAUUCUGUUUCUAAGAGAGGAAGCAGGAACCAAAGGGAAACAAAAACAGUAUAUUUUUCUGAAGUUCAUACUCCUUGUCGUGUAUGCUUUGAUUUUUGAAAAAAUAGAAAUUCUUAAAUUAACUGUGUGUGGUAAUAGGGCGGACAUCAACAUAUAUAAGCCCGUGGGAUGCACUGCAGAAAGAUUUGGAUGCUGGCAAUAGGAGGGUGAGAUGAUAGAUAGAGAACCUUACGCUUACUGGAAAGGAAAUCUAGAUGUCACAGCUAUAAAGGCAAGAGCUGGUUGUUUCCAGUAAAGCAAGAACGGAAUGCACGGAUUUGCAGGCAGCUGCUGCUCCAGCCUUGACGGUGUUGUUAAAGAUGGUUCCUGGCUUCCAUCUUGUGAUUUAGUACCGAGGUUUAUCUUCGUGCUUUUUUACUUUCAGUCAAUACAUGGUGUUUUUGGUCAUAAGUAUGUUUUUCACCAUGAUCUUCGUUUUAUCGUAAGUAUCCUAUGACAUGUUUCCACACAGCCAUUGCAAGAAGACAUUGCAAAUGUCCAGGGCCACCUAUGGUAGGUGAUGCAGAUGGACAUUCCUUCAUCAUGACUUUGCAAACCUAGCACCAGACAGGAGGAAUGUACUCAUGCGUGGUGUACAGUAUACCGGCGCUCAAUACUUAGUAGGUAACAAACAAAGAGUGGAAUGUAACUGAUGUGAACAACAGAUGCGUAUAAAUCAGGUUUUUCCAUGCUAAUGGGUUUACUUCUAUUUAAGUUAUCUUUUAUCUUUUGGUCUCGUGAAGGUAAAAAUUGUCAUAUUAAGCUUAUAGCAAAAGACCCGUGCGUUGCCAUGGAACAACGGAAAAUUGUAUCAAAACGUCAAAUCAAAUGUUGAUGUGUUUCAUGGGCACAUGUGUA